rnacentral:rRNA from 1 species
GGGGAAUAUUGCGCAAUGGGGGAAACCCUGACGCAGCAACGCCGCGUGAAGGAUGAAGGCUUUCGGGUUGUAAACUUCUUUAGUCGGGGACGAAUGGAUGACGGUACCCGAAGAAUAAGCCACGGCUAACUACGUGCCAGCAGCCGCGGUAAUACGUAGGUGGCGAGCGUUGUCCGGAAUUACUGGGUGUAAAGGGCGUGUAGGCGGGUUAUCAAGUCAGAUGUGAAAUUCCAGGGCUCAACCCUGGCGCUGCAUCUGAAACUGAUGAUCUUGAGUACUGGAGAGGGAAGCGGAAUUCCUAGUGUAGCGGUGAAAUGCGUAGAUAUUAGGAGGAACACCAGUGGCGAAGGCGGCUUUCUGGACAGUAACUGACGCUGAGGCGCGAAAGCGUGGGGAGCGAAC